rnacentral:tRNA from 1 species
AGUAGUUAAAGGUGCGUUAAAUCAGACUUAAAAUCUGUUGAGGGCAACCUCGUGCGAGUUCGAGUCUCGCCUAGCGCACCA